CAAAAUUGGAGUAAAGAGUUCAAUAAAGCAAUCAGACAGAGAACAAAACCUCGAUGGCCUGACUGUUCAAGCAGUAAGGAUUUUUGUAAGAAUGACAAAGCCCAUAAAGAAACAUAGAAGUGUGCGAACUUAUAUGGCAGAUUUACGGACAGCUGUUGAGUGGCUUAUGGCAUGGGACUACUGUAUCAUUUGGAAAGUCAAUGACCUUUCAAUAAUUAUAAUCACUUAUUUUCAAGAAAUUGUCUUUUUUUUUUUCCGACCCUUUGAAUUUCUUGAUUGAUUUUCCAGGUUUAUUUGUGGAAUGGGCUGCUUCUUGUUGCAGUGGAUGCUUCUUGUUGCAGUGGAGGAAAUUGUGAACACUUCGAAAUGAAACAGAAAUUGGUGCAAAAAACCAUUUGAUUAUUGAAUGCAAAGAUACAAGAACUGAGCAUCCUGUUAGAACAAAGUCUUGCAGGGCUCUUGCUCAAUCUCCUUCCAUAGGAUUGUAUUAUGGGUAAUUUUAUUUCUCUGUGAAUAUUCAUGUAAUGUAUAAAUUUGUUUUCUUGAUUUACUAUGAUUUUUGGGCAUAAUUUUGUUACAGAACCAAGCAGAUUUUUCUA